rnacentral:rRNA from 1 species
CACGUAGGCGGUGAAUCGGGUUGAAAGUGAAAGUCGCCAAAAACUGGCGGAAUGCUCUCGAAACCAAUUCACUUGAGUGAGACAGAGGAGAGUGGAAUUUCGUGUGGAGGGGUGAAAUCCAGAAAUAUACGAAGGAAGGCCAAAAGCGAAGGCAGCUCUCUGGGUCCCUACCGACGCUGGGUGCGAAAGCAUGGGGAGCGAACG